rnacentral:misc_RNA from 1 species
AACGCACCUUGCGCUCCUUGGUAUUCCGAGGAGCAUGCCUGUUUGAGUGUCAUGGUAUUCUCAACCCUCCUGUGAUUUCUUUUUAAAGAUUGCAGCUGGGCUUGGACUUGGAGGUUUAUUGCUGGCAUCCUUUGUUGGAUGUGGGCUCCUCUGAAAAGCAUUAGCUGGAAUAUUGCCGAGCAUGAUUCAAUGUGAUAAUUGUCUACGUUGCUUCAACUUGGUGUUAAUUCUGUUCUAGCUUCUAAACGUCCUCUGGACAAUAUCUGAACAUCUGACCUCAAAUCAGGUAGGACUACCCACUGAACUUAA